rnacentral:rRNA from 1 species
AACAACAGCGUUAUCACCAUGAAGCCUGGGCUUGACAGAACUCCAGGGCUAAGCAAGGUGGUGCUUGGUUAGUACAGGGAUGGGAGACCUCUAAGGAAAAUCAGUUUGCUGCUGUAU